ACAAUUGUAUUCAAUUUAAAA
rnacentral:piRNA from 1 species